rnacentral:ncRNA from 1 species
CAGAAAGCAUGGAUGAGGACAGUACGUUUAUCACCUUCCUCCAGCGAGCAGGGUAUGGUGGAAGCCUGUGGAAGAAAUAUUCGGAAGAUCACCUCGGAGCGGCAGACUGAAAGGUUAAUCAGGGUAAGUCUGUCCGGAUUGUCCCCGUUAAAAGACUUGGAGAUGCCCGUGACGCAGUUUUGGAACGGGCAAUUAAGGUGGUACCGCGAGACUAGACUCGCCCUUUGA